rnacentral:rRNA from 1 species
UCCGGUGACAAUGGCGAGAAGGAAACACCCGUUCCCAUCCCGAACACGGAAGUUAAGCUUCUCAGCGCCGAGUAGUUGGGGGGCGACCCCCUGCGAGAGUAGGUCGUUGCCGGGC